rnacentral:misc_RNA from 1 species
GUCUAGAAUGUCAUCGUCGACCACUGGGCGGCGAAAUAAAUAAUACAACUUUCAGCAACGGAUCUCUUGGCUCUCGCAUCGAUGAAGAACGCAGCGAAUUGCGAUAAGUAAUGUGAAUUGCAGAUUUUCAGUGAAUCAUCGAAUCUUUGAACGCACCUUGCGCUCCUUGGUAUUCCGAGGAGCAUGCCUGUUUGAGUGUCAUUAAAUUCUCAACCAUGACUUUGUUGACAUGGCUUGGAGUUGGGGGUUGCUGGCUUGUUUGUCAGCUCUCCUGAAAUACAUUAGCGGUGGACUUGCAAGGCCUUCCGACGUGAUAAUGAUCGUCGUGGGGCGGAGCAUCAACGUCUGUCUGCUUCUAAAUCCCAGAUGCCUUAGCUAGACAUCAUUUCGAACGCUUGACCUCAAAUCAGGUAGGACUACCCGCUGAACUUAAGCAUAU